GGAUUAGAUACCCUGGUAGUCCACGCCCUAAACGAUGUCAACUAGUCGUUGGAGGAAUUUAAUCCUUUAGUGACGCAGCUAACGCGAUAAGUUGACCGCCUGGGGAGUACGGUCGCAAGAUUAAAACUCAAAGGAAUUGACGGGGGCCCGCACAAGCGGUGGAGCAUGUGGUUUAAUUCGAUGCAACGCGAAGAACCUUACCAGCCCUUGACAUGUAGCGAACUUUCUAGAGAUAGAUUGGUGCCUUCGGGAACGCUAACACAGGUGCUGCAUGGCUGUCGUCAGCUCGUGCCG
rnacentral:rRNA from 1 species